CCAUGUGCUGCAAUUUUCCCAUUAGUUCAGUGCCUUAUACGGACAAUUCACAGUUACAAUUGGCAACAUAAUUUGUUUCUACAUGUUCCUGGCGGAAGUAAUCUCUGUAAUAAGUUCGAGAGGUUAUCUGAAGACCAUAUGUAUAACUACAAACGCAAAAUAAA